AUGUAUCUUUCUAACUCCAUAUCUAUCAUUUUCAUUUCUAAGAAAGACCUUCAUUAAUGUCCUGCACAUCUUCAUUUACAAUUUACUUCUUCAUUUAUUCCUUUCUCCAUUAAUGUCCAUUGAGACAAAUCCAUCAUAUAACCCGUUAAUGUCGCCGGGUAGAUCUUAUACUCAUUACUUUCUAUUGAAGCCACCAAAUCUGAGGAUCGAAGCAAUUAUCGAAGCUCUUCAAGAAAAGAAAGUGGUGAUUCUACUAGAUGACAUAUCCUGUUACUACAACCCGUAGCUACCUUACCAGGAUGGUGAUGGAUACAAGGGAA